CUGGCUCAGGAUGAACGCUGGCGGCGUGCUUAACACAUGCAAGUCGAACGGACUCAUAUUGAAACCUAGUGAUUUAUGAGUUAGUGGCGGACGGGUGAGUAACGCGUGGAAAACCUGCCGUAUACUGGGGGAUAACACUUAGAAAUAGGUGCUAAUACCGCAUAAGCGCACAGCUUCGCAUGAAGUGGUGUGAAAAACUCUGGUGGUAUACGAUGGUUCCGCGUCUGAUUAGCUUGUUGGCGGGGUAAUGGCUCACCAAGGCGACGAUCAGUAGCCGGCCUGAGAGGGUGAACGGCCACAUUGGGACUGAGACACGGCCCAAACUCCUACGGGAGGCAGCAGUGGGGAAUAUUGCACAAUGGGGGAAACCCUGAUGCAGCGACGCCGCGUGAGUGAAGAAGUAUUUCGGUAUGUAAAGCUCUAUCAGCAGGGAAGAAAAUGACGGUACCUGAUUAAGAAGCCCCGGCUAACUACGUGCCAGCAGCCGCGGUAAUACGUAGGGGGCAAGCGUUAUCCGG
rnacentral:rRNA from 1 species